CCCCUCUCAGGGUUGCAUCUGGAGAGUUUUUGGGACUCUACCAGUCUCGACUAUGGGAGGGAGAGUCAAGCAGAGGCCUAUCCAUUCCAUUCCUAGCUUGGGCUGUGGCUAGCCAAUGGAAGGCAAUCUGCUACAAGU